UCAGAAUGUGACCGCAUUUGGAGAUGGAACC
rnacentral:piRNA from 1 species